rnacentral:rRNA from 1 species
UACGGGGGGAGCAAGCGUUGUUCGGAUUUACUGGGCGUAAAGGGCGCGUAGGCGGCCACCGCAAGUCGACUGUGAAAUCUCCGGGCUUAACCCGGAACGGUCAGCCGAUACUGCGGGGCUAGAGUGCAGAAGGGGCAACUGGAAUUCUCGGUGUAGCGGUGAAAUGCGUAGAUAUCGAGAGGAACACCUGCGGCGAAGGCGGGUUGCUGGGCUGACACUGACGCUGAUGUGCGAAAGCUAGGGGAGCGAACGGG